AACGUAGGAGACAAACGUUAUCCGGAGUUACUGGGCGUAAAGGGCGCGUAGGUGGUUUGAUAAGGGUGUGGUGAAAGUCCGGAGCUCAACUCCGGAUCUGCCGUGCCUACUGUCAAACUCGAGGGCUGUAGAGGCAGACGGAAUUCCGGGUGUAGCGGUGGAAUGCGUAGAGAUCCGGAGGAAGACCGGUGGCGAAGGCGGUCUGCUGGGCAGUUUCUGACACUGAGGCGCGACAGCGUGGGGAGCAAACAGG
rnacentral:rRNA from 1 species